GACGAACGCUGGCGGCGUGCUUAACACAUGCAAGUCGAGCGGUAAGGCCCUUUCGGGGGUACACGAGCGGCGAACGGGUGAGUAACACGUGGGUGACCUGCCCUUAGCUCUGGGAUAAGCCUGGGAAACUGGGUCUAAUACCGGAUAUGACUCCAUGACGCAUGUUGUGGGGUGGAAAGCCUUGUGCGGCUAGGGAUGGGCCCGCGGCCUAUCAGCUUGUUGGUGGGGUGAUGGCCUACCAAGGCGACGACGGGUAGCCGGCCUGAGAGGGCGACCGGCCACACUGGGACUGAGACACGGCCCAGACUCCUACGGGAGGCAGCAGUGGGAAUCUUGCGCAAUGGGCGAAAGCCUGACGCAGCGACGCCGCGUGAGGGAUGACGGCCUCGG
rnacentral:rRNA from 1 species